rnacentral:rRNA from 1 species
CAGCAGUAGCCGCGGUAAUACGAAGGGGGCUAGCGUUGUCCGGAAUUACUGGGCGUAAAGCGCACGUAGGCGGAUAUUUAAGUCAGGGGUGAAAACCCAGAGCUCAACUCUGGAACUGCCUUUGAUACUGGGUAUCUUGAGUAUGGAAGAGGUGAGUGGAAUUCCGAGUGUAGAGGUGAAAUUCGUAGAUAUUCGGAGGAACACCAGUGGCGAAGGCGGCUCGCUGGUCCAUUACUGACGCUGAGGUGCGAAAGCGUGGGGAGCAAACAGGAUUAGAUACCCCCGUAGUCCCUGUCUCUUAUAC